GUCUCUCAUUCAGAGACGGCAGCACAUAUACUAAAAUUGGAAUGAUACAGAGAAGAUUAGCAUGGCCCCUGCGCAACACAUAACAUUUAGUUUAAAUAAUAAGUUUA
ensembl:snRNA U6 U6 spliceosomal RNA